rnacentral:rRNA from 1 species
GACGGAGGAUGCAAGCGUUAUCCGGAAUUAUUGGGCGUAAAGCGUCCGCAGGUGGCUGUUCAAGUCUGCUGUCAAAGCGCAGAGCUUAACUCUGUACAGGCGGUGGAAACUGAAGAGCUAGAGUAUGGUAGGGGUAGAGGGAAUUCCCGGUGUAGCGGUGAAAUGCGUAGAUAUCAGGAGGAACACCGAUGGCGAAGGCAGGUCUCUGGGCCGCUACUGACGCUGAGAAGCGAAAGCAUGGGGAGCGAACAGG